rnacentral:rRNA from 1 species
AUUGAACGCUGGCGGCAGGCCUAACACAUUCAAGUCGAACGAGAGGCGGACGGGUGAGUAGUGUAUGGGAAACUGCCUGAUGGAGGGGGAUAACUACUGGAAACGGUAGCUAAUACAGCAAACCCUCAGAAGACCCCAGAUGGGAUUAGCUUGUUGGUGGGGUAACGGCUCACCAAGGCGACGAUCCCUAGCUGGUCUGAGAGGAUGACCAGCCACACUGGGACUGAGCCACGGGCCAGACGCCUACGUGAGGCAGCAGUGGGGAAUAUUGCACAAUGGGCGCAAGCCGGAUGCAGCCAUGCCGCGUGUAUGAAGAAGGCCUUCGGGUUGUAAAGUACUUUCAGCGGGGAGGCGUUACCCACAGAAGAAGCACCGGCUAACUCCGUGCCAGCAGCCGCGGUAAUUC